GAGGACUAAGGGAGAAAUAAUUCAAGUAAGAAUGUUUUCAAAAUAGUCCAGUUGGAUUUGUGUGUGGGAUUUUUUUUCCUUUUGAAUCCUUUUGAAUUAUUUUUGCAUUGUUGUAAUUUAACUCCAUGUCACUAGAGGGACUCUCAUGCAUUGUCAAGAACUUGAACAAGGCAGGGGUGGACAGGAAGCCCUCAGUUUUUGAUUGCGUCAAAUGCCUUGAAACUAACUACCAGUGUUUAAGCCUCAGGAAUUGACUAGGGUUUAGUUAGUCAAUUCACAACAGUGCUUCACAAAUGUAGCAGCCAAGUUACCACCGAGACACAACAGAACCCAACAUACAUGCACAGGAGCAGCAGAUGACGCGAGGACAGGAGCCUGUACAGCAGGAGCAGAAGAGGCGGUCAAGUCGCCAGAUAGAAGGUCAAGAGCCUCGCUGGUAUUCAUCUUGGGCUGCAGGUAUAAAUUAUCACAGCAUUAGAUUGAAAACUCUCAAAUGCAUCAUAACAUUUUUGAUAUCUGUGACCACAACCGGACAGUUGUUCCGAUUGUGAGUACGAAUCAAAACAAUCACCAGCAUCAAACACUCCAAGUGACUCUGAUCAUGUCAUACCUGAGGCUUGGGGGCAGGCAGAUUUUUAAGUUCCUUCUCAUUGACCCUGUAUUUUGGUGCAAUGGAUUCUUCCCUUUCUCCUACACGCACGGCCUCUUCCUCUUUGUGCUUAGCCUCCUAUUAAUAGAAUACCAAUAGUCACCCAUUCUUUGUCAAACAUCUUAACUGUAUACAAUGCAUUUGAUGCAAUUGGUUCGCAAACUGAACAAAAAUAUCGUAAUGCGUAUUUCUUACGGAAACAAUGUCCUCGGGUCUAAGUUUGGGGGGUUCCGGUCUUGGUUCUGAUGCUGGCAAUGUGUCACUAAGAGCACCGAGAGCAUCCAGAGGCAUGUAGUCACCCUGAGGAGACAAGGCUGGAAAUUUAGGAUACUUUUCAUGAUCAAAAUUUAAACCAUUUAAAAAUUUUCCGAUGUUCCGUGUUUGGUCUUGAACAUUACCUCAUCAGUUUUGGGCUUUCCUUGAGGCGGUAACACUGGAGGACAGUUUGACAGCUGAGGAAAUACAAGAGAGAGUCUAGGAACACUGAACUGAAGACAGAAGGGUUGAGGGGACAGUGAGUCACAAUUUGGAAGUUUUACCUGGGGUGCCUUUCUGCUCGUAGGAGGAAGCGGUGCGUGGACACCAGACGAUUUAGUUGAAGUCAAAAGAUCUUGAGCGGUUAACGUUUUUUUGGUCUGGAAACACGCAUUUGGAAUUGCAGUUUGUCAGUUUAAAACAAAAAAAGUUAUUAAAAAUAUAAACGCAAAAUAAUAAUUAUCUGUAGUUGACGUCACCCGUUUGUUACCUGUGCUGGGGCAGCUGAGGAGCUUGUGAAUUCUCCAGACAAAAAGCUUAACGCCUCAUUGGUAUUCAAAGAAGGCUACAAGAGACACAAAGGGCAACAUUUGAGAACCACCAACUGUUGUGCCCAAUUUUUGUUGCUAGUAUAAAUAUCAAAUGAGAUAUCUUCUUUGAACUCUUCAAACGGCUGCUGGUCAAGACUCACCUCAGGUUUCGGAGCGGGAAGUUUUUUAAGUUCCUCUUCAUUGAACCUGUACUUUGGUGCAAUCGAGUCUUCUCUCUCUCCUACGAGAACAGCGUCCUCCUCCUUGUGUUUUUUCUCCUGUUAUAAAGAAAGAAGUAAAUAAAGUGUUCAUGCCUGACCACUGAAAAAGUGCUGAUGGUUGUCAUCCUACAGAGACAAUAUCUUCAGGUCUGAGCUUGGGGGCUUCAGGUCUUGGUGCAUCUUUUGGUAGAGUGUCACUAAGAGCGCUGAGUGCAUCUAGCGCCAUGGCACUGCCCUGAGGAGAGAAUUUUAAAAAAAUGGAGCUCUGUCUAUUAUGAUAUGUUUAUUAUUAUAGAUAGGUUCAGAUCUGUUACCCUAAGAGGCUCGGGUGCACCAGGACACACACUGAUGGUUGGAGCAAAUGUAGGGACUUCAGCUUUCUGCAAGAGUGGAUGUUAAGCACUGAUUGUCACUGCUGAUAUUUGUCUAAGAUGUGGAGUGUACCUGUGUAGGAACUGUGGAGGAGGUCAAAAGGUCUCCAGAGAGGAGGUCCAGGGCCUCAUUAGUGUUCAAGGUGGGCUGCGAAAAAAAAAGAUGACAUUAACUUGCGCAUGAUGUGCAUUUGAUGAAACUAUAAAUUGGAUUUUUGUGGAUAAAAAAAAAUGAGAAUGAAUGUGAAGGUCACAUAAGCCAGCACUUUGGCCUUGCAAUCUAUACGUUAUGUGGUCUCACCUCAGGUUUUGGAGCAGGUACUUUUCUAAGUUCUUCCUCAUUGAACCUGUACUCUGGUGCAAUGGAAUCAUCCCUCUCUCCGACACGAACAGCGUCUUCCUCUUUGUGUUUUUUCUCCUACAAGGUGGACAUGGUCACUGUGUGUGGUUAGCAUACCGCCUGGAUGCUUAUGAAGAUACAACUUUGAGAUGUUUACCUACCGAGACAAUGUCCUCAGGUCGAAGUUUAGGCUCCGGUUUGGGUUCCGAUGUUGGCAACAUGUCACUAAGAGCCCCGAGAGCAGACUGAGACAUGGAGCCACCCUGAGGAGAUAAUUGGCUUUUAAGGAAGUGCCAAAGUGGGAUGAUUAGUGCAAGGAAUCAAAUGAAUGGCCACUGACCUCAUUAGGCUUUGUGUCCAGUCCAGCCUUCAGCGAAAAGUCCGAAGAGGCUUUUUCCGCCUGCAUUAGUUUUGUAGAACCCAUACACACCGUUUUCUAAGACCAGGAAACAAAUGCUAUUAUGCUGAUAAUAGUUGCAAGCAUGACACUGAUGAUUGGGGGGGAAAUUUAGUUGAACAGUAGUGUUAGUUACAGUUUUGAUUUUAUACCUCGAAUUGGUCAGGGGGAAUCAAAGAAUCCAACGAGAAGUUAUCAACUUCCAUCUUGGCUUUUUUAUCAGCUGGAGGUUGAGUUGCUACUUUAGGCGCAGGGACGUCGACUUUCUGAAAACACCAACCACACACAGCAGGGAAUGAAGUUGCUAGGCAAGAUGCAAAAGAAGCGAUGGAAAUAAUAAAUCUGAACGUCUCUACCUUCGCGAGCGAUGGCGCAGCAUAACACGCGGCAGCAGAUGAGGCAGCGGCUUUAUCUUUUUUCUGUGUAGGGGAAAUAAUAAUAAUAAUAAUAAGUAAACAUCCAAAAGAGCUUAAACCAAAAACUCUUUCUGACCUCCUGCAUUUUGGGUGCAGUUGGAACAGUUGACGUCAUGAAACCCGACGAGAGGGACUCCAGGGCCUCGUCUGUGCUGAGUGGUUUCUGAGGAAAAACGCAAAGUGUCACCAUUAGCUGAGCACACAUUUUCUUACAACAAGAAAAAGUAGUUGGCUUAGGAGAAAGAGCCAUAAGAUUCUUUUAACUCUCCACUAGAGGGCGUUUUUGACCACAAGUAAACAAAAGAACACAAACAGAUCAGAAGUCAAGGAAAAGUACUGACACACCCUUAAAAUUCCUUUAAGAGGCAAAGCAGUUUGAAAUAGACUACCUGGAAUUACACGUGUAACACAAAACUUAAAGCGCAUUCAAAACACUAAAGCUUAAAAUCACAGAACUCACAUGGGGGAAAAGUGGGUGAGAUCAUGAGACGAAAAAAAGGGAGUGCCUUUGCAACGCAAGACGGCAAAGUGGGAGUGUGCUAAAUUGGAAAUGAGGCUCAGAUGACCACCAGAAAGGAAACAGACGGGUGAAGUGAAGGGCGAACGUGGACAUUGACCUGAAUUUUAUUGAGUCACUGUUUGGACAUUCAAAACUAAACGGAAGAAAAUGUGAGGAUUGUUGAGGAAUUGUUAUGCAGAUGGAACUAAGGGGUCAAGGUCAUCCCUGAACAGAUGAAUUAAUCUAUUUAGGUGUGUGUUUUAAUGCUUUUGUUCAUUUGUGAAUGUCGGACAAGAGCCAACAAGAUCCGGUAGGGAAGGAGGCAGAGAAGGUUCUGUACAGCUUACAAAGACAACACCCAGUCAACACCGCAAUGCAACAUUCCUCAGGCUAGUGUGUUUCAGUGUCUCUCCUAACUUUGUUUGCACUUAAAAAUGAAAAAGGUGGCCACUUACGGGGACAUCUUUAGGUCUGGUGUCUGCAGGAAGUGGAGCCUGAAAAUUAAAAUUGUAUGCAGUUAAAAAAAAAAAAAAGAAUAAAGAAAAUCCAAUGAUCAGUUCAUGAUUUAUAUUAUAUCUAUAUUAUUAUUUUUGUUGUUAAUAAACCAUAAGUAUUUAUUUCUUUGUCAACCUGUUUUAAUGAGCAUUAUUUUUCAAUAUUUAUAGUAGUAUUGUAUACACGUGAAUCUAAAUAAGUUAAAAUAUUUCACUUGAAAAUUGUAUUUUGUUUAAUAGUUUAAUAACAAACAAAAGAGUUAAAUACAAAAAGUCAAACUCAAAGAACAGAGCAGUGAUGCAGACCGCUUCAGCUACAAACGUUACUCUUGACCUGCUGCAACUGACCAUAUUUUCAAAUCUGUAACCCGGGGGCAGCGUUUCGUCUCUUUCUCCACAUUUGGAAGCCUUCUCGGAUGUGGCAUCAGGCUGUGACACAUGCAACACGCAGUUAUUCACACCAGAGCCAUGCUGCGCGUCAGUGGAAUCACCUCUUUACAAAAUGUACCUCUUUGACCUCGGGGCCGGUGAAUAUGGGUUGCUUAGGAACCGGAUCAACAGAUGGGAGUAUACUAGCCAAGGCGUCAAACGGAUCUACGGCGGGUGUCUGCGCAUGCCACACAAUUGAGCGUACUGGAGCAAGCGACACAGCAACAUGCUAGCCAGAGCAGAUAAAUGCCUCUUUACCUCUUUGGCGCCGAUUGUUUCUGUUUUGGGACGUACUUCCACUUGCACCUGAAACCAAGAAUGUUAAUCAAUGCGUAGACCUUUGCAACACGCAGAUUGUUGUCAGAGAGGGACAGCAAAAACCCAAGAACGUAAACAAACGCCAACUCAAAUACAGCCCAGAGCAUCAUUUUACGUAGACUGCUUUAUGUUUCUUGCUAAAUCAAACGAGCAAGUAUACCUUGGCCCUGUCUUUCGGCGAGCCUUUAGAUGCCGACAAGGCAGCGUUAGCUGCUGCUGUAGUCGCCGCUGUUCCAGUGGCAACAGUGGAAGACUUUAUAGUGGAGACAGGUGACGUCUACAAAACAAACCAUCCCGUAAAUUCAGUCAAAAGCUCCAAAAAUUUAACAAUGUCUCAGAAUAACGUUGGAUGCAUAAAGCAACAUAUCACCAUCACCCAGGGAGCUCCAAAGAUGAAACGGUUACCUUGGACAUCAUUUUGGGACUGCCCCUCGUCCCAGACAAUGUCACGUUGACAACAGUUGAGCCGGCAGACGACAUGUCAAUAACAGUGGGCUUGGUGUUAGUCUAUAAACCAAGGAGCAAGUGCUUAAUGGACACCGUGGGGUUAUUUUUGUAGGCAGCUCAAAAAGCUUGGAGGAAAGCCUUCGAUCCCAAAAGUGAAGACAGCAAAGAAACGGUGUGCUAGAGCAAAGACUGUGACAAAGAUCACGAUGUCAACACGGCCGAGGCGGCACACAAAGAGAAGCCAGUGAAUGGCAUCCAGACAAGCGAGCGACACCAUAAAAAGGAAGCCGGUAGUUCCAGUCAUACUGCAGCCGAGCCCGUUUGCUUCACCCGUUGCCCGUCUACCUGGGCUUUAGCUGUAGGAAGCCCCUGCCCCGCUGUCUUGAUGGAAGUACUUGCUGAGCCGCUACCACCUUUGGCUGUGGUAAUGCCGCCAGACUUUGAAGCCAUGGCGGAUCCUGAUGAUGCCUUCUGAAAAGCACCGGGAGCGAAGAUGUCCAUUUUUAUAGCUUAGGGAUUGCACGUAGCACCUUUGGGCUCCCAUGGCAGUAAUGAAUCGGAUUUAAGGUGCUCAUCAGCGAGCGUUAGCAGAUGAUUUGUCUGCUACAGACAGAUCUAAAUCGGUGUGUUUCUGGAUUAUUACAUACCCGUAAAGCUGGUUAUUUGAGGUUCAUACUCAAGACAACCUAUUAGCCAAAUGAUUAGUGUAAAAUUUUGUGUAAUGAUUUGUGUAAUGUCGGUAUCUCCCAAUUCUUACAAUAUGAUCUGACCAGCACCUCUUUCAGUUCGUAUUUAGCUACUAUGACAAAAAAAACAUGCAUGGUCAUGGUAGAAUUAUGAGUUUAGAGAGCUAAUCAUGGAAUUUUGUUUUUAUACAUGAUGUGUUUACCGUGUCUGUCAUUAAAAAAGGGUGCAAAGGUCACCGCCCAAAAAUAAGACUCACUUGUUAAAGAUGUUGUAAAACACGUCUAUAAAUGACAAAAGUACGUUUAAAAAAAAAAAGAAAAUUUCAAGCUGAGCAAAGACGAGACACACAGAAAGGGACUUGGGACUUUCCAAAAAUCAAAACAAGAUUGAAGUGCUGCAGAAAAUACUUUGAGCCAAUCAUUCAGCAAACUAAUCUAUAGCAACACAGCACAUACCAUACUUGUAUAGCCAAGUAAAUAUGCAGAACCAGACUGACUACGACAGAUUAUUUUAUCUAAGCCCUGGACUUGACGGCAGCACUUAAAAAAAAAUUAUAAAUUCAGUAAAAAUUCUAUCAAAGGGUUAAAACUCUUCCAGUUGACUGCAAAACUGGGCGUUACUUUCACACGCUCAACUGUCACAAAAGGGAUAUUUUAUUUUCCAAGCUGAAGCUCUUCCCUUUUUCAAUUUAAGACAUCGGUAUCAAAACAUUUGCUACUGAAACAGGAAAAGCAACGACAAUACCACACAGUCCGCAUACCAGCGGGGUCAAAGGUCACAAGACAAUAAUCCUCUCACUGCCAAUGGUGGAUUAGCACAUGGAGAAAGUGACUUUUGAGAUAAGAUCU